AAGACCUUGCACUUUUGGAGCGGCCGAUGUCUGAUUAGCUAGUUGGUGGGGUAAUGGCCUACCAAAGCUUCGAUCAGUAGCUGGUCUGAGAGGACGGCCAGCCACACUGGGACUGAGACACGGCCCAGACUCCUACGGGAGGCAGCAGUGGGGAAUUUUGGACAAUGGGCGCAAGCCUGAUCCAGCCAUGCCGCGUGAGUGAGGAAGGCCUUCGGGUUGUAAAGCUCUUUCAGCCGGGAAGAAAAGGUUGCGACUAAUAAUCGCAAUUCAUGACGGUACCGAAAGAAGAAGCACCGGCUAACUACGUGCCAGCAGCCGCGGUAAUACGUAGGGUGCGAGCGUUAAUCGGAAUUACUGGGCGUAAAGCGUGCGCAGGUGGUUUUGUAAGUCAGAUGUGAAAGCCCCGGGCUCAACCUGGGAACU
rnacentral:rRNA from 1 species